rnacentral:SRP_RNA from 1 species
GCCGGGUGUGGUGGCUCACAUCUGUAAUCCCAGCACUUUGGGAGGCUGAGGCAGGCGGAUCACCUGAGGUCAGGAGUUUGAGACCAGCCUGACCAAUAUGGUGAAAUCCUGUCUCAA